UACGAAGGGGGCUAGCGUUGUUCGGAGUUACUGGGCGUAAAGGGUGUGUAGGCGGUUUUUUAAGUUUGGUGUGAAAUCUCCCGGCUCAACUGGGAGGGUGCGCCGAAUACUGAAAGACUAGAGUGCGGGAGAGGAAAGUGGAAUUCCUGGUGUAGCGGUGAAAUGCGUAGAUAUCAGGAGGAACACCGGUGGUGUAGACGGCUUUCUGGACCGUAACUGACGCUGGAGACACGAAAAGCCGUGGGUAGCAAACAGG
rnacentral:rRNA from 1 species